rnacentral:rRNA from 1 species
UAAUACGGAGGAUGCAAGCGUUAUCCGGAUUCAUUGGGUUUAAAGGGUGCGUAGGCGGAAUGAUAAGUCAGUGGUGAAAUCCCCCGGCUCAACCGGGGAACUGCCAUUGAAACUAUCAUUCUUGAGUACAGUUGAAGUGGGCGGAAUGAGUCAUGUAGCGGUGAAAUGCAUAGAUAUGACUCAGAACACCGAUAGCGAAGGCAGCUCACUAAGCUGUAACUGACGCUCAGGCACGAAAGCGUGGGGAGCAAACAGGAUUAGAUACCCUGGUAGUCCACGCCGUAAACGAUGAUUACUAGUUGUUGGCGAUACACUGUCAGCGACUGAGGGAAACCAUUAAGUAAUCCACCUGGGGAGUACGGCCGCAAGGUUG